AUGGCAGAGGGCUUCGGGGACCAGCAGAAACUGGCCAGGAGCAGGACCUCCACCACGGCCCCAUCAGUCUUCCCACUGGCCCCCUGCUGUGGGAAGAUAUCUGAAUCCACGGUAGCCCUGGGCUGCCUGGUCUCCAGCUACAUCCCAGAGCCGGUGACCGUGUCCUGGAACUCGGGCUCCGUGACCAGUGGCGUGUACACCUUCCCGUCCAUCCUGCAGUCCUCGGGGCUCUACUCCCUCAGCAGCAUGGUGACCGUGCUUGCCAGCAGCUUGAAGAGCCAGAUCUACACCUGCAACAUAGACCACCCGGCCAGCAGCACCAAGGUGGACAAGAGAGUCGAGGAGGCCCACCCAGGUGCUGAACAUCCCCCUGUGUCUCCCGCCCCAUGUCCAGGAUGGCCUUCAGUCUUCAUCUUUCCCCCGAAACCCAAGGACAUCCUCAUGAUCUCCCGGACACCCGAGGUCACCUGCGUGGUGGUGGACGUGAGCCCGAAAAACCCCGAUGUCCAGGUCACUUGGUAUGUUCACGGCACGGAGGUGAGCACAGCCAAGACAAAGUCAAAGGAGGAGCAGUCCAAUGGCACCUACCGCGUGGUCAGCGUCCUCCCCAUCCAGCACCAGGACUGGCUGAGUGGAAAGGAGUUCAAGUGUAGGGUCAACAUUGAAGCCCAUUCAGGUCCCAAAGAGAGGACCAUCUCCAAGGCCAAAGGUGAGACCCGGGAGCCGCAGGUGUACGUGUUGAACCCACACCAGGAGGAGCUGGCCAAGAGCACGGUCAGCGUCACCUGCCUGGUCAAAGACUUCUACCCAUCUGAGGUCAACCUCGAGUGGCAGAGCAACGGGGAGUCAGAGCCGGAGGGCAAGUACAGAACCACCCCACCCCAGCUGGACAGUGACGGAUCCUACUUCCUGUACAGCAAGCUCUCGGUGGAGACGAGCAGGUGGAAGCAGGGAGUCAAGUUCACGUGUGCGGUGAUGCACGAGGCUCUCCACAAUCACUACACGGAGAAAUUCACCUCCCAGUCUCCGGAGGUGGUCCUGGACGAGAGCUGUGUCGAGACACAGGACGGGGAGCUGGACGGGCUGUGGACCACCAUCUCCAUCUUCAUCACACUAUUCCUGCUCAGCGUGUGCUACAGCGCCACCGUCACCCUCUUCAAGGUGAAGUGGAUCUUCUCCUCGGUGGUGGAGCUGAAGGAGACGAUGGUCCCCGACUACAGGAACACGAUCGGGCAGGGGGCCUAG